ACUUAAUUUCAUCUCAAACCCACUUUACUUGUGGUUGUGUAUAGUGAUAAGAGAUAUCAACUAAAAUGAGUGGUGGGAAGGGUUCGAUUUUUUUGGCUUUCUUCUUCUUUCUCCUUGUCUCCUCCGAGUUGGCUGCAGCCAGGAAGCUAAUGGUGGCCGGAAAAAAUGCAGCGGCCAUACAUGAAGACCCCACCGUUUUCAGCAGCCCCGGCACACAAAACCCCGACAUGCAAAAUUGCUAUUGUUAUGGUGAUUGCAACUCUUGCAUAACCCCGGUUUGCGAUCCUUAUACACAAGACUGCCCUCCAUAGAACUGAAGUGGACACUAAGAUCAAACAUCAUGGAAACCAAAUAAACUAACCCACAACUACGUGGGUUUUAAUUACUAUCUAUCUUACCUUUGUUGUGUGUAUUCAAUCCUAUUUUUGUGGUUAUAAGUUUGGAGAUUUGUGUUUUAUGGGGAUGAUGUGUGGGUAUAAUUUGUAACUCAAUCAAUAGUACAUGUUUGUCACGGUGUGUGUGAGUGUUGCAAGAUGAGUGUCUUCCUUUGGAAAUGAGUUUUAUAGGAUAGUGUUAGGCGAUAUGAGUGUGCUAAUAUUGUGUCUCGUCCUUUGAAUCGAAGGUUGGUAUAUGUUGUUAUCUAGCAUGAUAUGUAGAAAUGACUCGACAUGGAGAUGGGAGGGUUCAUAUCUCAAUAAUACUUGGGUGGAGUCAUAAUCGAGACUUGUCAAUGAUAAAAUCUCUCAUAGAGUAGUUCUUGAUAAGCAUGCUCAAAUGAGAAACAAAGACCAAUAGCAUUCUAAGGCUCGGGAUGACAUCACAAAGUAUCGUGGGCCUCGAAAGUUCUUGGUUAGUAUAAUGCUUUGAUAAGCUCCAAAUUGCAUCAACAUGCCAUGAUAAACGUUAUAAUGUUUCAAAAGGGUUUAGUAAGUGCU